GGAAAUUGGAAAUUUGGGAUCAACAUUCCACAAUAGUCGUAUACGAUAUACUGUCCCCAAUUUUUUCUCUUUCGUCACACCGUGUGUUUUUCUCCUUCACUCAUCCAUUACUUCUGCCUCUGUUUUGUUCUCGAGCCGUGGCGUCACUGCUUGCCUUGGUAUCUUGGAAACUAUACAUUAAAAAUGACUUGGAAUAUCAUAAUUUAUUCAACUAGUCUUUAUUUGGCAUUCCCCCCCUCCUAUUUGUAUUGCUUUAUGUAUAUUUUUAUUAUGAAUGCUUGAUUUGGCUUAGUAUUACGUUUUGCUAAAUUGGCUUAAUAUUAUAUUUUUGUUUCCAUUGAUUUUUUUCAUAAAUUGUUUUUUCUAAUUUGACGGCUGGAUCUAAAAAUAAUAAUUUAUUUUCGGGACUAUUAACGAUCGAAUCGAUCCAAAUUACAUGGUUAUGGUAUGGCCAAAAAAUUGGUGAAUCGGUGAUGAUUUUGGCCGAACCGACCCUGAUUCAAACCGUUGCUAUCCCUACACAAAAAAUAAAGUCUAAUAUCUAGUUCAAUAAUAUUUAUCAAAUUCUAAGUUAUGCAAUAUCGAAAGAGAUGGUUAGUAUGUUUUCAAUACUAAUCCUAAACUAAGAAAUUAAAUAAAACAUUUAUUUAAUAUGUGAAUAUUUGAAUUGAAAUCGUGAAUCCCCCUGUUGCCAUUUAAUUCAAUUUUUAAUUCGUAAUCUAGUAAAUUUAUGCAUUCAAGACAAUCAAUAAUCCACUUUUAUUCAAUAUUCAUUUCCAAGAUAUAUUAAACCUAUGUUUAAUAUGACUCGAUUCUAUUCCUAAUCCAAAUUCAUAUGAAAAUAUGCAUUGAUUUAGAGGGAUUUAUCACACGUAAUUGCACAUAUCAUAGAUAUUGUUCCUAGCACCUAUUGUUCACUUGUUGAUUUUAUUGCGUUCUAGACUUAUUGUGAGUAUUCCUACGCUACAAAAAGCAACUUACUAUUUAAUUAGUGAUCAAGCAAUUAAAUAGUUCAAUGGGAAUGCAAAAUCAAUCAAGAAAAAUCAAGAAAUACUAAACUAAUUAUCAUGAACUAAAAUAAACAAACACUAAAGUUCAUCUUUUAUCCAAUACAAUGAAAAACUUAGCCUAACGUUCUUAUGAUUAAAUUACACAAGAAUAAUUGGAAACAUAUCACAUAAAAAUAAAAAAAUAUGGAAAAAGUAUGAGAAAUUCAUGUUCUUGACUCAAAUCUUGAAAUCGAGAUAUGAAUCUUCAAAAUUUUUGUAUGAUUCUCUCGAAAAUAUGUAGAAUAUGAUGAAAUUUAGGUUGAAUGGAGUUUUUUUACUUUCUGAUCGAGUUUUGGUAUUUAAAGGAUGUCAAAAAGAUUGCAAUGAAUUGUUACCAAAAUAAAAUAAGAAAAAUCGAGUUUUUUUUUUUUUUAUUUUAGUACUGUGGCGCGUGCCUCUCCUGCAGGCAAGUGUGCUUACUUCGCAUAAUUUUUGACAACUAAACAACUUUCAGUAUUUUUUUCAUAAUUUUCUUGUUUUAUAUCUGAUUGAGCUGAUUCAAAGUGUAUUGAUAAUGUCACUCAAAGUGCUACAAUUCUUCUAUAAGUAUCAUUUUUUCAAUUCGAAUAUCUACUGUGCCAAAAUUGGGUCUCAAUAUAAGGCUGAAAAUUCGAAGUAUAACUUUUUUGGUUGAAAGUUAUUGUACGAUAAUACUUUGACUAUACUUUAUCUCUUUGACUUAUUUCAUCAUCCAAUUGACCCUUAGCACUUUCAAAUCUUCAUUGUGAGGUUCAACAAAGCUUUUUAAUACUUAUACUUUAGUCCCCGAAUUGGAUUUGCUUUAUUUCAGCCCUUUUUUUCUUGCAAUCUUGUUCUUGUAUCUUUAAAUUGUAUCCAAUUAAAUCCUUGGCAUCUUUGAUCUUCAUUUCAUUACCCAUCUCAUCUAUGAAUUGUUUUCAAUUGAUUUCUCGACUUUUGGAUUUCACCAUUUUUCACUAUUUUUGUAUUCUUUUCUCCAAUUCGUCAUCAAAUAUUGAGUUUUACCUUCAAAAUACAAUACAAUACAACAUAAGUUAUGUAGUAUUUUAUCCGAAGAAGACUAAAAUAUUAUCAUUUAGGAUAUCUAAUAAGUGUAAUACUACAUUUAUCACAGCAACACGGUGUUGCAUUAAACUGUUCUCAAAUACUGUCUGCAUAAAAUAUUGUAUGCACCCAUUUAGAUUUAGAUUAAAAAGUAAAUUUGCUAACGAAUGAUGCAAUAUAGGUUUCCUGAAGUCCUUAAAUUUCUACGUAGUUCUGUCAAACUCACCACAUAGAAAUCUCCACCUGUUAAAAGAUAUCUCUCUCUCCUACCAUCACAAAAUUAUAUUAGAUUAACAAGAUUCACCAAGUUGCAAUGCAUUACUAAUAUGCACCAAAACCAUUGGAAUCAACACUAAAAUAACAAAGCCGAUCAGUUUCCAGGUACCCAAUUUUGUAGGUUGAUAUUCCCAAAGAAUGUCUUUUUCAAGGGCUGGGACGGAUACAACACGAGAAAUCUAGACAUCACCGAUCGUUUUCCUGUCUCUAGAGGCCUUUGAUUAUGUAUAUAACCCAUGAUUGAAAGGGAAAACAGUAACCAUUGUUAGGCAGUGUUAUAAAUUGAGAUAGACCGCAAGCAAUGCUAGAAAUGGAAAGCAUCAUGCAAAGGCUGUUAAAUUUGGUAAAAUUGAGGCACAAGGACAAGGAGAAAUCUACAAACCUGAAUACAAUCAAAGAUGUUUCCCAAUAUUCCUGGACCUAAUUCCACUGAUAUGGCUUGCAAUGGGCAAAUAGGUAUAGAUAAACCUAGAAUCAUCUCAACUCUUCAAGUUAAAAAAUGUCAUUUCCAACACGAACUAAUUCAUAUAUAGCAGCUCCUGCCAUUCCAUUAGCAAAAACCACAGGUCCAGAUGCCUGUUGAAAAAGAAAAUUCCACCCAGUAGCAACAGAAAUACUAGAGCUAUUUUAGCAUUAAAGUCUGUAUGUUUUAAACGAAGCAAUGCUAGGGCACAAAUUUUAUUGCCAAGAAAUGCAUCCCCAUGGGCGGAUCCACAUGUGAUCAUGUGAGUCCACAAAAAUAUUUGAUUUGAUUUUUUUAUUUUUCAAAAUUUCUGUAGCUACUGUAAUUCUUUUUCAAUACAUUUUACUUGAUACUUUUCAUUGUUGUUUGUUUUUACAUUUGAAAGGAGAGUUAAUAAAUGGAGUUCGAUAACUUGUCUUCUUUUAUUGAAAUUUCUAGAUUUUAUAGGGGAUAUUAUCGGGCUUUGAUUUCUUCAAGUGUAACUGCACAUUUGCUUUAUCUAAAUGGGUGUUUAGAAAGGUUGAAGAUAUUAAUUUAAUCGAUAAGUGUUAGCUCUUGGUUUAAAUGAUGAUUCCAAUCUGUAUAGCUAAUAUACAGAUACCAAUACUUACAGCCUACAUGAGUCGAAAUUAUGUAUUAUAAUUCUACAUUGCGACCAAUCUUUGUCAAAAUACAUGAGUUAAAACUUCAAAAUUUUUUAGUGACGAUAAAUUAUUGAAGAGAGGGAAACUAAGAUUGGCCUAUCCAUUUCUAUUCAUACUAUAGCUAACAUAAUUCUCGACCCAUUCAAUUGUCAUUACCAAUUGCAAGUAAACCCCCUCCUUUCACUCUUAUUUUUCACUUCUUUGUUCCCAUCCCUCUAUUAUGGUUUUAUUCCCUGAUCGAUCCUUGGUAAGAAGAUUCCCCUGACCAGCCAAUUUGGAUUGAAAGAGUUUGCUAAUCUGUCUUAUUUAAUCCCCCAACCAUCAUAGCUUUAGCAGUGUUUGAGAGAAUCCAAUUAUCAUCCUCAAAAUCGACCAUAUUAUUUAUGCUUUUCAAGAGUUUUCGUAAGCAGUUUUCUUUGUCCAUCCAUUUCUCUUUAAUUUUUUUCCAUUUCGGAUCAAACAAUGCCAAUUGUAAAAAUGGUGAAAGUGAACCAGCUUCUGUUUGUGAUCUUAUGCCAUUUUAAUUUUCCUUUGUUUUCUUCUGUAAACAAGAAGGAAAUGGAUUUUGACAGCAUUAAUGUGAUCUUAUUCCAUUAUGCAGAAAUGUGAUCUUACAUUAAUGUUAUGUUGUCUUUAAAAAAAUAAAAAAAAUUAAUUUCAUCUUAAUUUUUAACCCCACUAUACAAAAAGUCUGGUUCUGCCCUUGUGUACACCCCUGACUGUUUUUCAAAAAAUUGUUUCCUUUUUGGGUUGCGAGGGGCUGUUUGGAGAUACAUAAACAAUUAAUAUUCUUUUCUGGAAGUUCAUAAAAGCCCAAGAUAUCUCCUCAAAAUUAUGGAAUUCCCCUGGAUAGAAUUAUCUUAUCAAACUAUACUUGAACCGAGAAAUCUGGUUGAUGCAUGCUUUGAACAACCUAUUUAAAAUGAAAAUUAGGGGCCCACAAUGUCAAAUAGCAAUCAAGCAGAACAGAUCCAUUAGAUUUCAAUUCCAUUAGGUAACUUCGGGGCCAUACUGAAUACGAUUUAAAACUCUAAUGCCCAAAUUUUUGAAAUAUCAAAUACUGUGCACUCGCACCAAUAAACAAGUAACAAUUUCAACGUUUAAAGUGAGCUGGAGUAAUAACGUGAGUUCAACGAACGUAACUAGUGCUAUGACAGAUAGGAAAAUAGAAGAAACGAAGGCAAUCAAAAAUAAAAUUGAAUCAGACAGUGAAAAACGAAGUGGAACAGUAUAGAUCGAACCUUGCGAACGUAUCCAUAUACGCUCUCCUUCUCUGAAUCCUCAAAGGUGGUCGAAGGACCUCCGAAAACCGCCGGCAUUUUGCUUGAAAUGGAGUAAGUAGAUCGAAUCAAUAGAAUUAUCCAGCAAUUGAGAUGUUGAAUUCAGAGAGGGUGCUACGAGAAGAAAAAGACUGAGAAGAACAGGAAUGGGCUUAGUAUAGAAAGCAUUAUUGAACUUUUGCAUAGAACUGUCCCCUUCCACUGUUUUCAAAUUCUAUUUUCCAUGUACUCAAUCACACAUUUACAAAAUAAAAUAUUCUGCGCAUGAA